rnacentral:rRNA from 1 species
CGGCCGGCGCACGGUGAGUAACGCGUAUGCAACUUACCUAUCAGGAGGGGAUAACCCGGCGAAAGUCGGACUAAUACCGCAUGAAGCAGGGGCCCCGCAUGGGGAUAUUUGCUAAAGAUUCAUCGCUGAUAGAUAGGCAUGCGUUCCAUUAGGCAGUUGGCGGGGUAACGGCCCACCAAACCGACGAUGGAUAGGGGUUCUGAGAGGAAGGUCCCCCACAUUGGUACUGAGACACGGACCAA